UGGGGGAUAUUGCACAAUGGGCGAAAGCCUGAUGCAGCGACGCCGCGUGGGGGAUGAAGGCCUUCGGGUUGUAAACUUCUUUUGCUCUGAACAAGGCGCACCAUGGGGUGUGUUGAGUGUAGGGGUUGAUUAGCGCCGGCUAACUACGUGCCAGCAGCCGCGGUAAUACGUAGGGCGCGAGCGUUGUCCGUAAUUAUUGGGCGGAAAGGGCUUGUAGGUGGCUGGUUGCGUCUGUCGUGAAAGCUCAUGGCUUAACUGUGGGUUUGCGGUGGGUACGGGCUGGCUUGAGUGCAGUAGGGGAGGCUGGAAUUCCUGGUGUAGCGGUGGAAUGCGCAGAUAUCAGGAGGAAUACCGGUGGCGAAGGCGGGUCGCUGGGCUGUUACUGACACUGAGGAGCGAAAGCAUGGGGAGCGAACAGG
rnacentral:rRNA from 1 species